AGUCGUAACAAGGUCUCCGUUGGUGAACCAGCGGAGGGAUCAUUACCGAGUUUACAACUCCCAAACCCCUGUGAACAUACCACUUGUUGCCUCGGCGGAUCAGCCCGCUCCCGGUAAAACGGGACGGCCCGCCAGAGGACCCCUAAACUCUGUUUCUAUAUGUAACUUCUGAGUAAAACCAUAAAUAAAUCAAAACUUUCAACAACGGAUCUCUUGGUUCUGGCAUCGAUGAAGAACGCAGCAAAAUGCGAUAAGUAAUGUGAAUUGCAGAAUUCAGUGAAUCAUCGAAUCUUUGAACGCACAUUGCGCCCGCCAGUAUUCUGGCGGGCAUGCCUGUUCGAGCGUCAUUUCAACCCUCAAGCACAGCUUGGUGUUGGGACUCGCGUUAAUUCGCGUUCCCCAAAUUGAUUGGCGGUCACGUCGAGCUUCCAUAGCGUAGUAGUAAAACCCUCGUUACUGGUAAUCGUCGCGGCCACGCCGUUAAACCCCAACUUCUGAAUGUUGACCUCGGAUCAGGUAGGAAUACCCGCUGAACUUAAGCAUAUCAAUAAAGUCG
rnacentral:rRNA from 1 species